CGUGUCUCUAAGAGUUUGAUCCUGGCUCAGGAUGAACGCUGGCGGCGUGCUUAACACAUGCAAGUCGAACGAUGAUCUCCAGCUUGCUGGGGGAGUAUGUGGCGAAACGGGUGAGUAACAUGUGAGUAACCUGCCCUUGACUCUGGGAUAAGCCUGGGAAACUGGGUCUAAUACCGGAUAUGACUGCUCCGCGCAUGCGGUGGUGGUGGAAAGCUUUUGCGGUUUUGGAUGGACUCGCGGCCUAUCAGCUUGUUGGUGGGGUAAUGGCCUACCAAGGCGACGACGGGUAGCCGGCCUGAGAGGGUGACCGGCCACACUGGGACUGAGACACGGCCCAGACUCCUACGGGAGGCAGCAGUGGGGAAUAUUGCACAAUGGGCGGAAGCCUGAUGCAGCGACGCCGCGUGAGGGAUGACGGCCUU
rnacentral:rRNA from 1 species